AAGAUUAAACUGAAGAGUUUGAUCAUGGCUCAGAUUGAACGCUGGCGGCAGGCCUAACACAUGCAAGUCGAGCGAGAAAGCACUUCGGUGUGAUUAG
rnacentral:rRNA from 1 species